AUUGAACGCUGGCGGCAGGCCUAACACAUGCAAGUCGAGCGGAUGAUGGGAGCUUGCUCUUGCAUUCAGAUGCAGACGGGUGUGUAAUGCCUAGGAAUCUGCCUGGUAGUCGGGGCUAACGUCCGGAAACGGGCGCUAAUACCGCAUACUACCAGAGGGUGAAAUUGGUGGUUCUUUGGAACUCAAGCUAUCAGAGGAGUCUAGGUCCGAUUAGCUAGUUGGUGGGUGAAUGGCCUACUAAGGGAGGGAUCGGUAACUGGUCUGAGAGGAGGAUCAGUCAAACUGGAACUGGAACAGGGUCCAGACUCCUACGGAAGGCAGCAGAGGGGAAUAUUGGACAAAGGGGGAAAUCCUGAUCCAGCCAUGCCGCGUGUGUGAGGAAGGUCUUCGGAUUGUAAGGUACGUUAAGUUGGGAGGAAGGGCAGGAAGGUAAUACCUUGCUGUUUUGACGUUACCUACAGAAUAAGCACCGGCUAACUUCGUG
rnacentral:rRNA from 1 species